AACGAACGCUGGCGGCAUGCCUAACACAUGCAAGUCGAACGAGACCUCCGGGACUAGUGGCGCACGGGUGCGUAACGCGUCGGAACCUGCACUUAGGUUCGGAAUACCUCCCCUACAGGGGUGCUAAUGCCGGAUAAUGUCUUCGGACCAAAGAUUUAUCGCCUUUGGAUGGGCCCGCGUUGGAUUAGCUAGUUGGUAUGGUAAAAGCCUAACAAGGCGUGGAUCCAUAGCUGGUCUGAGAGGAUGAUUAGCCACGCUUGGACUGAGACACGGCCGAGACUCUUACGCGAGGGAGGAGAGCGGGAUACAGGACAAUGGGGUAAAGGCUGAUCGAGCAAGGCCGCGAGAGUGAUGAUGGCCUGAGGGUAGAAAAGCUCGUUUACCCGGGAUGAUAAUGACAGUACCGGGAGAAUAAGCUCCGGCUAACUCCGUG
rnacentral:rRNA from 1 species